UACGUAGGGCGCAAGCGUUGACCGGAAUUAUUGGGCGUAAAGAGCUCGUAGGCGGCUUGUCAAGUCGGGUGUGAAAGCUUGGGGCUUAACUCCAGGUCUGCAUUCGAUACGGGCUGGCUAGAGGUAGGUAGGGGAGAACGGAAUUCCUGGUGUAGCGGUGAAAUGCGCAGAUAUCAGGAGGAACACCGGUGGCGAAGGCGGUGCUCUGGGCCGUACCUGACGCUGAGGAGCGAAAGCGUGGGGAGCGAACAGG
rnacentral:rRNA from 1 species